GCUCGUAGUUGGAUCUCAGUCUCGGUCCGACGGUCCAUCUCACGAUGGUACUGUUCGAAUCGGACAUUUGGCCGCCUUUCUCAGUAUGCUCUUGACUGAGUGUAUUGGGAGAGUGGCACGUUUACUUUGAAAAAAUUAGAGUGCUCAAAGCAGGCAA
rnacentral:rRNA from 1 species